rnacentral:misc_RNA from 1 species
AUUUUACAAAAUCAAAUUCUCUGUUAAUAUAAUAAUGAUGCAAAAUUGCAAGGUCAGUGCACUACAUAGGCUGGUGAGUGUAUGGCAGCAGAGAAGAUCACAUAUUUAACCCCCACAGCAAAAUAUUAUGGUUAGUGGGUAUCCGCAUAGGACCUUCAGCAGGAGAAGAUAAUUUGCUAUUCCAACUCCUAAUAAAUAGCCAACAAAAGCAUGCAUACUUGAAACUGGAAGAUUCAAUUUAAUGACUAUGAUCACUGUUGCCACUGAGGACGGCUGAGACACCAUUCCUCUUGAGUUACUCAAGCAGGUUAGCUUCCCACCUAGGCUUUGAGUCGGACGCCAUCCACAUAGGAAAAAUCUCAUUGCAGCAACAAAUUCACCAAUGCCCCUAGACCACCAAUUCACAUGUAUAGAAUGCUCCUGAUCAUAGGAUCAUAUGCAAGGUCAGUGUUUGAUAGAAACUAAUGAAGAAAAAGUUGCAGAUUCCAAGUUCCAGCAUUUGAAUGGAAUGUGUAUAGAAAUUAUAUAUUCUUCUAAACUUAACUUACCACAUCUUAACUUACCACAUCUUUCUGAUUUCCUGAAUAUUUAGUUCUGUGUUCAAAAACAUCAAGAAUUGCUCCACAUGGACUCACAACAGCUGCUACCUCAAUAGCAGAUUGGAUGAGACUGCAUAUCAGUAGAUUUGAUCACUUGGGGUGCAAACGAGAGUAAAAAUUCCAUUUUUUUUUGGGAUGGAAGAGUAAGGAUACGCGAAAAUAGACAAAGCAAUAAUGUGCGGGAAACUGAGGAAGUGUUCCAUCUCAUCGUAUUUUUCAGCUAAAGCAUGUCGAAUGAGCGUUUGUCUGUCAUACUCUAAGGCCUGUUUCAUUGUGACAAUCAACAAAUGUAUGCAAUUUGUUGUAUAGUAAUCUUCCAAACUGUAAUAAUAGCUAUGAAGCAGACUUACUGGAUAUAUGAUGGGUUUUGCAAGUUCUGUGAUACACCUAUAGGCAUCUGCAAGUAGUGAUGUCUCUUCAAUUCUCUGAAAGUUACUUGUUCGAACCAACCUAUUUGGUGUAGACGCAAGCAACUUCUUAAAUGCUGUUGAUUGAUUUGUUGCGGUGGUAAAUUCAGAAACUGAUCGUGUCUGCUCAGAGUCUUGGAUUAUAUCUGGCGAAGCCCAUCUUCUUUCCUCUUCUUCAUAGACUGUUUCAAGGACUCUCAUCUGCGUAAAAUCUUUCAAUACAUCUUCAACAUCUUCUUUUGUGACACUUCUUUUGUCCUGAUUUUCUUUGCUCUGGUGACUCAUGGAUGAUGCAUUUUGUUUUCCAGACUUAAAAGUUGGGAUUGCAUUGAAAAGUUUCGUUCCCAGAGGAAUGAUAUUGAUAACCUAUUAGUGAAGCCAAAAUUUACUCUCAGAAAUGCAGAAAAGAAGAAAGAAAGAGACUCCAUCUCGCAGGAAACACCAUGAAUUUACCAAAGACAGCAGUACUCCAGUGGAUACAGCUACUGCAACAGCAACUAUAACAACCAAUAUAUUGACAGAUAAAGCGUUUCCUAUUAAGACACAGAUGGAAGAAGCUAAGUGAAGAAUAACAAAUUGAGAGAGAGAGAGAGAGUAUGAAAAUAGAUGACAAAUAACCUGAAACAUGACCAAAAGGCAAAGCAAUCCUGCAGAUAUUCGAUAGACAAG